UUCUUUUUAACUGAAGAAAGAAAGACAUGAACAUCUUUGAUGACAUGAGGGCUGCGUGUGGCUCAAGGACAGAAGCGCAGGAGAGCGUCUCAAUGAAGGGAUUUACUGCAGCACUGAGUCAUAAACCUCACCACACCGACAGAUGCUGCUCUGUUCCUCCUCCAGCUCAUUUCAACAUCCAAUAAAUCACUCACAAACUGGAGAAACUAUGUGGAUCAGGACGGAACUGCAAUAGAAAAACCACAUGAGGACUUUUAUUUUGAAGUCUUGUUCCUCGUGUUCCAUGUUUGUAGUCCUUUUUUGUGUUGAUUCAUCCAGAUUGUUCCCAGCAACAUCUCUUCUCUGAUGACGAGGGCGGGGCAACCUGUCACUCACAUGACAUCCACCAAUAGCAAACCACAACCAUCCAAUCAAUUCCCCACAGACAAGAACAAGUUCCGCCCUACAUUUGUUCUCAUUCCAGAAGCCAUUUCACUUGGAUUUACGUCACAAUAAUGAAGAAAAGAUGAGCACAACUUCCCUUUCAUGACGACUUUAACAUGUGAACUGAUCUUUACACACUCUAAACUCUCCAGCUGUUAGUUCAAUGUUCAUUUUCUCCUAAAGGGAUGAUGCAUUGUGAUGAAAACUGGGACCAAUCUUCUUUUGUUCUCAUGUUUCCUGAAUGAUGUACAGUAGCUUAGUUUUUUCUUUUUUACCUUCAAAUGCCAAAAUAUAUUGCCAAAUGUACUUGAAGGGGCUCUUUAUGUUGCUCUCAUCUGAGCUUAGAUCAUUCUCCGUCUUCUGUUCAGCAACACAAAACAUACAUAUGCAACAGAGGAAAUAAAACACACUCCUCUGCAUUCAUGCCAUGUAUUUCACAGCGCUGUCAGGAACGAGACUAUUUUUAGCAUCCCUAAUGUGAAUCGCUUGAACCUGUUGAGGUGAUUCUUCAGGAGAGAUGAGACAGGUGUGAGAACAGGUGAGAAAUCCCAGACUAACACACCUGCACACAUACUGUACGAUUCAAUGUCUUUAUGUGAGAAAUGAAGAUUUCUGGAUGGUUUAUGCUUCUCAUGAUCCUAUAGAAAGUGUGAAAUUCUGUACAAAACUGACAUUUUGUUUAAGUUUCAAUUAACUCAUUAUUUGCAGAGUGUAAUGUGCAGAAGAUAUGACCAAAGCCUUAUUGUUGUGUUAUUAUUUCAGAGUUUGCACGACUGCACUAUUAUUCUAUUAUGUGGAAAGAGUUGUUUAAGAAUUGUGCAGUUUAAUCAUUGAUUGAUAUGUUUGUUUGUUCAUUCAUUUGUUGGCUGUUAUGUAGGGAGAGGCUAGAAAACACAAAAUGGAACAUGUAAAACAAAAUAAAUUAUUGUGAUUCACCAAACAAAUGUUAUUUAAAUGUUAAAUGCUUAAAAAUAUGCUGAGAUCACACUUAUUUAAAGGUUACACUUGUACUUAAUAGUAAUAACUGUAUAAUUACAAGCAACUGCACUAAAAUGUUUUACAAAAAAAAAAUCUUUUAGUCUGUCUACCUCAAAAUCCCAUGUUUAAUUCAAUGUGUUGCUGAUUCUUUGUCAUUUUUGUGAGAUUUACUAGCAAUUUAUGAGUGAAAAUUGUUUCUACAUCAUAUUUUUUAUCAUCUUUAAACCAAACAUGAAGUGAUUGAACCUGCUGUUAAACAUGAACAGGUUUUACUGUUGAAGUUUUACAGUCUUUUUCAUGCGCAAUCAUUUUUUAAACAAUGUCAAGCGUAACUGCAGAUCAUCCUUUCAUCCUGAAACACUGCAUCAAGAUCUGUCUGCACAUGGACUCUUCUUCAAUUUUUGAGAAUGACUUAUAAGAACAUGGUUUCAUCUUCAUCGUAUCCAUCCAUGACCCGAAGGACGAUGAUAAAUCAGCAUGAACGUGUGUGUCAUGGUCAGAUCAGAUGAAUGACUGACCACUGAUGAUCUGUAACAGCUCAGCAUAAACUGAGAGAGAGAAAUGAUCUUUUGAAAGUUGUA